UCUCCGUAGGUGAACCUGCGGAGGGAUCAUUACAGAGUUCAUGCCCUACCGGGUAGAUCUCCCACCCUAUGUUAUUGUUACUUUGUUGCUUUGGCGGGCCGUUAGGCUCCGGCCCGACUACCGGCCCCGGCUGGUAAGCGCCCGCCAGAGGACCCAAAACCCUGAAUAUUAGUGUCGUCUGAGUACUAUAUAAUAGUUAAAACUUUCAACAACGGAUCUCUUGGUUCUG
rnacentral:misc_RNA from 1 species